CCUGGGAAUGCGUACUCAGGAUGCCAGCAGCUCAGACAUGUAAUAAAAAAAAUUCCCCCUCAACAUGGUAGAAUUUGGAAGUGUCUCCAUUCAUCCUCAGCUGUGCUGUGAGUCAAGCGUUGGGUCAGCGCACCAGGAGCACCUAAGUUCAAUCCCGAUGCAAAAAUCUAAUCAACUCUCAAAGCCGAAGAAUGAGCUGAUGAUUCAGGUUGAAUCUGGACUUCUAUAAGCCACUCUGUGUAGGCAUCACGAAGAGCUAGAGAUACCUGAAGAGGACACCUGCAAGGUGCAGCCUGAAGAGUGACGUCAUGAGGAGAUCACACCAACCAUUCUGUAAGCUACAUGCCUAGGUCACCCCAGGGGAUCAGACUGAGGCUGGAGUGCCCCCCCACAUCGCACCUCCUUUGGCUCCUCUCUCUACCCUGUGGCCCUCAGUCCCUCACGGUCUCAUCUGGAAUCACUUCCUGAAUGAACCUCGAUGCCAAGGCCAGCCUUAGGGCAUCUCGGCCAUCCUGCAGGAGGCUUGAGCUGGGCUCUGACUGGUGCAUGGGAGAAGAACAGGAUGUUGACGUCUGGCUUCAGAAAUUGGAUCUUUACAUAAAAGCAACGGGAUACCACAGAAGCAGGGAUGAGACAAUCGGGUUUGGAUUUUGAGAAGGCCAAAAUGGCCAGGGUGCAAAGAACAGACUCGAGAUCAGCUGGGAGUUUCUGUGCUCAUCUGGAGGGAGGUGGUGGUUCAGCUGGUACUAAAUGGGCUUGAAAAAUAUUUAAACAAAAAAAAAAUAAUAAAAAAUAAAAAAAAUUUAAACA
rnacentral:lncRNA from 12 species